UACGUAGGGGGCAAGCGUUGUCCGGAAUUAUUGGGCGUAAAGCGCGUGUAGGCGGUCCGGUUAGUCGGCUGUGAAAGUCAAGGGCUCAACCCUUGAAUGCCGGUCGAUACUGCUCGGACUAGAGUCCGGAAGAGGCAGUGGAAUUCCCGUGGUGAUGCGGUGAAAUGCGCAGAUAUCAGGAAGAACACCCGUGGCGAAAGCGGCUCUCUGGGAACGGUACUGACGCUGAGACGCGAAAGCGUGGGGAGCGAACAGG
rnacentral:rRNA from 1 species